rnacentral:rRNA from 1 species
ACAGCAGCAGCCGCGGGAAUACGUAGGUCCCGAGCGUUGUCCGGAUUUAUUGGGCGUAAAGCGCGCGCAGGCGGAUCAGUCAGUCUGUCUUAAAAGUUCGGGGCUUAACCCCGUGAUGGGAUGGAAACUGCUGAUCUAGAGUAUCGGAGAGGAAAGUGGAAUUCCUAGUGUAGCGGUGAAAUGCGUAGAUAUUAGGAAGAACACCAGUGGCGAAGGCGACUUUCUGGACGAAAACUGACGCUGAGGCGCGAAAGCCAGGGGAGCGAACGGGAUUAGAUACCCCGGUAGUCCCUGUCUCUUAUACA